GUGAGCACACCCUCUGGUCCAGGCCGUGGAGACUCCAGAAGGAUGGGUAGAGCCCUGCUCUCAGAGCUCACCCUUGAGCGGGGAAUGCGGCCAGGCGGUGAUGACAUAUACAGUGUGGUAACUCCAGGUGACAACGGGGCCAAGAUACAGCAAACAAUGGAUGCGAGUCCGGCCUGUCCCUCAUCCCACGUCCAGCUGCAGGUUCUCCAGGAAGUGGCUGAGACAAAGCAGAGUGGCAGGACUCUGGCCAAGCGCCUGGUCAAGGCCUCCCUACACAGGGCAACGCCAGCGUUGAUCCAGACUUGGUCGUCCCUCCUGGAGCCCUGGGACCCAAGGAGAAGUCAAAGCCCACAGUGCAACGGGGCAGAACUGGGCAGUGGAGUGUCUGAAAGUCACGCCUGGGAACGAGGGACCCAAUACCAGCCUAGGACGGAUGAGGGCAGGGCAGGCCAUUCCCAGCCUCUGGGGAGAGGCUGGGCCUGUUGGGGAUGGGAGGCCCAAAGUUUGGGCGCAAGGCCCCAAGUAGCAUAUCAUGUUGGCCAGAGCCUCUGGGCCUAGGGGACACAGCACGGGGCUCAGGAGUCAUGUGCACAGACGGGCAAGGAGCUACCUAACAAUCAGAGGGUGGCUAGUAUUACCCAAAACUGCAGUGAAAAAGGAAAGAUCACAGGGGACACAGAAAGGGAGGUGUUACUCUUCCUCUGCCUCAUCUUCUGUCCCCCGAGACUGGGAGACAAAGGACUAAAUCCUGACUGUUCCAUAGACCAGCUGUAAGGCAUUGGACAAGAUAAUGUGUCAGAGCCUCAGUUUUCUCAUCUAUAAAAUGGGAGUGAUGAUAAAACUAAGGGCCAUUGGCUGAGUCAAGAAAGGACCCGGCACUGGGAAAUGGUAGCUGUGGUCCCCGGCACUGUAACAUUCAUCAUUUCCAGGCCCCUCUGAGAAGAACCCAGAGGCCCCAGCUCAGGGUGGGCGGUCCAAACCAGAGGCCAUAAAUUCCAGGUCUGGAGCCCCUGCUAGACAGGGGCAGGGGUCCUCAGCCCUCAGCACCACCCGAGUGGGGACAAAGAAGGGACAGAGGCCCAGCUAGAGCCGGCACAAUUCCAGCCCUGGUCUAUUCCUGAUCUAAGCGCUGAGACCUCUCCCCACUGGGGCACCCGGCCAAGCCCUUCCAAGACGGGAUCAGACACGAGGACAGCUCACCCAGGCCAGGGACAGAGCUCGCUCCCUGUUUAGUCCUUAAAAGUCCACCGGACUGAGCUCCUCUCCCGCAGCGGAGGGGGCCGGCAUGGGCAGGGGCUGCAUUCCCCGCAUGCCAUGGAGGGGGAGGCAGCCGGAGGUCUCCCCAGAAAGCGCCUAGCUCCAGGCCAGAUCCUGGGAAGAGGCCACAGCACCAGGACCUGGAGCAGCCCGGCUGCUUGCUGCCCGGCAGCUUGGGGCUGCACUGAACAUGCCUGGCAAAGCCAGCCCCAGCGUGGGCGGAGUGGGGGAAAUGGGGGGGAGAGGGUGCAGUUAGGA